CCUACGGGUGGCAGCAGUGAGGAAUAUUGGUCAAUGGGCGCGAGCCUGAACCAGCCACGUAGCGUGAAGGAUGACUGCCCUACGGGUUGUAAACUUCUUUUAUAAAGGAAUAAAGUGAGGCACGUGUGCCUUUUUGUAUGUACUUUAUGAAUAAGGAUCGGCUAACUCCGUUCCAGCCGCCGCGGUAAUACGGAGGAUCCGAGCGUUAGCCGGAUUUAUUUGGUUUAAAGGGAGCGUAGAGGGGUUGUUAAGUCAGUUGUGAAAGUUUACGGCUCAACCGUAAAAUUGCAGUGGAUACUGGCAGUCUUGAGUACAGUUGAGGUAGGUGGAAUUCGUGGUGUAGCGGUGAAAUGCUUAGAUAUCACGAAGAACUCCGAUUGCGAAGGCAGCUUACUAAACUGCCACUGACAUUGAUGCUCGAAAGUGUGGGUAUCAAACAGGAUUAGAUACCCUAGUAGUC
rnacentral:rRNA from 1 species